rnacentral:rRNA from 1 species
CAAAAGCGUAUAUUAAAGUUGUUGCAGUUAAAAAGCUCGUAGUUGAACCUUGGGCUUGGCUGGCCGGUCCAUCUUUUUUGAUGCGUACUGGACCCAGCUGAGCCUUUCCUUCUGGCUAGCCUUUUGGCGAACCAGGACUUUUACUUUGAAAAAAUUAGAGUGUUCAAAGCAGGCCUUUGCUCGAAUAUAUUAGCAUGGAAUAAUAGAAUAGGACGUUAUGGUUCUAUUUUGUUGGUUUCUAGGACCAUCGUAAUGAUUAAUAGGGACGGUCGGGGGUAUCAGUAUUCAGUUGUCAGAGGUGAAAUUCUUGGAUUUACUGAAGACUAACUACUGCGAAAGCAUUUACCAAGGACGUUUUCAUUAA